rnacentral:rRNA from 1 species
GUAAAUCCGGGGUUUCAAGGCCGAGAGCUGAUGACGAGUCGUCUUUUAGAUGACGAAGUGGUUGAUGCCAUGCUUCCAAGAAAAGCUUCUAAGCUUCAGGUAACCAGGAACCGUACCCCAAACCGACACAGGUGGUCGGGUAGAGAAUACCAAGGCGCUUGAGAGAACUCGGGUGAAGGAACUAGGCAAAAUGGCACCGUAACUUCGGGAGAAGGUGCGCCGGCUAGGGUGAAGGAUUUACUCCGUAAGCUCUGGCUGGUCGAAGAUACCAGGCCGCUGCGACUGUUUAUUAAAAACACAGCACUCUGCAAACACGAAAGUGGACGUAUAGGGUGUGACGCCUGCCCGGUGCCGGAAGGUUAAUUGAUGGGGUUAGCGCAAGCGAAGCUCUUGAUCGAAGCCCCGGUAAACGGCGGCCGUCAAUAACGGUCCUAAGGUAGCGAAAUUCCUUGUCGGGUAAGUUCCGACCUGCACGAAUGGCGUAACGAUGGCGGCGCUGUCUCCACCCGAGACUCAGUGAAAUUGAAAUCGCUGUGAAGAUGCAGUGUAUCCGCGGCUAGACGGAAAGACCCCGUGAACCUUUACUGUAGCUUUGCACUGGACUUUGAGCCUGCUUGUGUAGGAUAGGUGGAGGCUUUGAAGCGUGGACGCCAGUUCGCGUGGAGCCAUCCUUGAAAUACCACCCUGGCAUGCUUGAGGUUCUAACUCUGGUCCGUAAUCCGGAUCGAGGACAGUGUAUGGUGGGCAGUUUGACUGGGCGGUCUCCUCCUAAGAGUAACGGAGGAGUACGAAGGUGCGCUCAGACCGGUCGGAAAUCGGUCGCAGAGUAUAAAGGCAAAAGCGCGCUUGACUGCGAGACAGACACGUCGAGCAGGUACGAAAGUAGGUCUUAGUGAUCCGGUGGUUCUGUAUGGAAGGGCCAUCGCUCAACGGAUAAAAGGUACUCCGGGGAUAACAGGCUGAUACCGCCCAAGAGUUCAUAUCGACGGCGGUGUUUGGCACCUCGAUGUCGGCUCAUCACAUCCUGGGGCUGAAGCCGGUCCCAAGGGUAUGGCUGUUCGCCAUUUAAAGUGGUACGCGAGCUGGGUUUAGAACGUCGUGAGACAGUUCGGUCCCUAUCUGCCGUGGACGUUUGAGAUUAGAGAGGGCUGCUCCUAGUACGAGGACCGGAGUGGACGAACCUCUGGUGUUCCGGUUGUCACGCCAGUGGCAUUGCCGGGUAGCUAUGUUCGGAAAAAGAUAACCGCUGAAAGCAUCUAAACGGGAAACUUGCCUCAAGAUGAGAUCUCACUGGGAACUUGAUUCCCUGAAGGGCCGUCGAAGACUACGACGUUGAUAGGCUGGUGUGUAAGCGUUGUGAGGCGUUGAGCUAACCAGUACUAAUUGCCCGU